CCGAGAUGGGCCUGGAACCUUCUCAUUCUCCUUUUUCCUCCCAGACCCAAGAAAGUCGGCCUGGAGCUGUGAGAGAUGCAGGGCCAAGCUGCUUAUUACUGCACUGGAGUGAUCCCCAAGGGAGGGGACAGAGGCCCUGGCGUCCAGGCAAGACCAGAAGGAAUCCUGCGAUGGAGAAAUUGAGUCUGGGACAGAAGCGAGGAUGUGCCCCGGG